GGUGACACUAUAGAAUACUCAAGCUAUGCAUCCAACGCGUUGGGAGCUCUCCCAUAUGGUCGACCUGCAGGCGGCCGCGAAUUCACUAGUGAUUAGAGUUUGAUCAUGGCUCAGGAUAAACGCUGGCGGCGUGCUUCAUGCAUGCAAGUCGAACGCUUCAACGUAAGUUGAGGAGUGGCAAACGGGUGAGUAACACGUAAGUAACCUGCCCCUAAGUAGAGGAUAACUGUGAGAAAUCGCAGCUAAUACUGCAUGUGUUAGCAGAGGUAAUGCUCUGUUAAUAAAGUCGUAAGACGCUUGGGGAGGGGCUUGCGCCUGAUUAGCUAGUUGGUAGGGUAACGGUCUACCAAGGCGAAGAUCAGUAGCUGGUCUGAGAGGACGGUCAGCCACACUGGGACUGAGACACGGCCCAGACUCCUACGGGAGGCAGCAGCAAGGAAUUUUGUGCAAUGGGCGAAAGCCUGACACAGCGACGCCGCGUGCGGGAUGAAGGCUCUCGGGUUGUAAA
rnacentral:rRNA from 1 species